UGCUCAAACUCACUAUAUCUCCAGAGCCUUCGUAACUACAUAGGUGUUGGUAGCCUGAGGGAAGUGUAACUGUGGAGAAGUGUUGCGUAGUUAUCCAAGCUCGUUAUGUGCUUGUGUGUAAAAAGUGUCAAAGAACAGGACGUGUAUAAAGAUGAUUAUUAAGGGAGUGCCAAAGAAAAAAAAAAGGACUUGCCUGUUUCUUCACUACUCGCUGCCUCUUCCGUCCUCGCCCUUUCUCAUUUUGAUCCUCACGUACGCCUCGUCCUGGUGGUCCCGGGAACUUUCUGCGCCGCGUCAGUGAUCGUAAGCACAUCGCCAGGACGGAAUCUCUCUUCACCUCCACCACCAAGGAUACAAGCCGUGGUCGUGUACGGGAACUCACCAUCUUCAGCCGAUAUAAUGCCUCACGACACGGAACAGUCAGAGGUGAAGGACGAGGCCACGCGACGCUGUGACUCACAAGACACAUUUCCUUGUCCGAUCCUUGAGUCUUGUUGCUAUUUUAUGAGAGAGAGAGAGAGAGAGAGAGAGAGAGAGAGAGAGAGGCAGAGGGAGAGAUCAACUACACGGGGAACCUACAAAAACUUCCAUUAUCCAUCAAGCACAGAGGCGAGGUCGUAAGCGAUCACUCAGCCAGCCAAGUGAUGAGGCAAAGAAGUCAGAUUUAGUACCGGAGUCUGUGCGGAACGAAUGGAAUAUUUAAUUAGGGGAGAAGAAGACAUAAAGAGUAGAAUUUAUUGCAGGAACAAACGGUAGAGUAGAAUGUAUGACCGGCCACCUAUUAGAUCCAAUCGCUGGAUUAGACAAUUUUUACUACCGAAGGGAAUUAGAUAACAAUAAGUAGCUAUAAAGAAAUAUAAAAUUGAAUAAAUAUACACAUGAUCAUAAAUAGAUUUGGGGAAACAAACAGGAAAAACACACACACUCACACACACACACACACACACACACACACACACACACACACACACACACACACACACACACACACACAC